rnacentral:rRNA from 1 species
UACGUAGGGCGCAAGCGUUGUCCGGAAUUAUUGGGCGUAAAGAGCUCGUAGGCGGUUUGUCGCGUCUGCCGUGAAAGCCCGGGGCUUAACUCCGGGUCUGCGGUGGAUACGGGCAGACUAGAGGCAGGUAGGGAGAACGGAAUUCCCGGUGUAGCGGUGAAAUGCGCAGAUAUCAGGAGGAACACCGGUGGCGAAGGCGGGUCUCUGGGCCGAUACUGACGCUGAGGAGCGAAAGCGUGGGGAGCGAACAGG